rnacentral:rRNA from 1 species
UACAGAGGGUGCGAGCGUUGUUCGGAAUUACUGGGCGUAAAGCGUGCGCAGGCGGUUUUGUAAGCCAGGGGUGAAAUCCCCGGGCUCAACCUGGGAAUGGCAUUUGGGACUGCAAGGCUGGAGUGCGGCAGAGGAGACUGGAAUUCCUGGUGUAGCAGUGAAAUGCGUAGAUAUCAGGAGGAAUACCGAUGGCGAAGGCAGGUCUCUGGGCUGACACUGACGCUCAUGCACGAAAGCGUGGGGAGCAAACAGG